rnacentral:rRNA from 1 species
UACGUAGGGUGCAAGCGUUAAUCGGAAUUACUGGGCGUAAAGCGUGCGCAGGCGGUGAUGUAAGACAGGUGUGAAAUCCCCGGGCUUAACCUGGGAACUGCAUUUGUGACUGCAUCGCUGGAGUGCGGCAGAGGGGGAUGGAAUUCCGCGCGUAGCAGUGAAAUGCGUAGAUAUGCGGAGGAAUACCGAUGGCGAAGGCAAUCCCCUGGGCCUGCACUGACGCUCAUGCACGAAAGCGUGGGGAGCAAACAGG